rnacentral:rRNA from 1 species
UUACUUGGAUAACUGUGGUAAUUCUAGAGCUAAUACAUGCAAACAGAGCUCCGACCGGAGACGGAAGGAGCGCUUUUAUUAGAUCAAAACCAAUCGGUGGCGUUUUCGUCAUCGUACAAUUUGGUGACUCUGAAUAACUUUUCGCUGAUCGCACGGUCUUGCACCGGCGACGCAUCUUUCAAAUGUCUGCCUUAUCAACUGUCGAUGGUAGGUUCUGCGCCUACCAUGGUUGUAACGGGUAACGGGGAAUCAGGGUUCGAUUCCGGAGAGGGAGCCUGAGAAACGGCUACCACAUCCAAGGAAGGCAGCAGGCGCGCAAAUUACCCACUCCCGGCACGGGGAGGUAGUGACGAAAAAUAACGAUACGGGACUCAUCCGAGGCCCCGUAAUCGGAAUGAGUACACUCUAAACCCUUUAACGAGGAUCAAUUGGAGGGCAAGUCUGGUGCCAGCAGCCGCGGUAAUUCCAGCUCCAAUAGCGUAUAUUAAAGUUGUUGCGGUUAAAAAGCUCGUAGUCGAAUCUGUGUCUCGCGCCGCCGGUUCAUCGUUCGCGGUGUUAACUGGCGUGUCGCGGGACGUCCUGCCGGUGGGCUUAGCCCGCAAGGGCGGCCCAACUCAAUCCCGCCGCGGUGCUCUUCAUUGAGUGUCGAGGUGGGCCGGCACGUUUACUUUGAACAAAUUAGAGUGCUUAAAGCAGGCUAAAACUUUGCCUGAAUACUGUGUGCAUGGAAUAAUGGAAUAGGACCUCGGUUCUAUUUUGUUGGUUUUCGGAACCCCGAGGUAAUGAUUAAUAGG